rnacentral:rRNA from 1 species
UACGGAGGGGACUAGCGUUGUUCGGAAUUACUGGGCGUAAAGCGCACGUAGGCGGAUUUGUAAGUCAGGGGUGAAAUCCCGGGGGCUCAACCUCGGAACUGCCUUUGAUACUGCAAAUCUCGAGUCCGGAAGAGGUGAGUGGAAUUCCUAGUGUAGAGGUGAAAUUCGUAGAUAUUAGGAAGAACACCAGUGGCGAAGGCGGCUCACUGGUCCGGUACUGACGCUGAGGUGCGAAAGCGUGGGGAGCAAACAGGGAU